ACAUUCAAGGUGGACCACAAAAGAGCAAUUAUUAUCCUCCACUGGCAAUGCUUAUCUGCAAUAAGAAUCGAAUCUCCUUUUCCAAAAGAUGGCCAUUCUUUAUGUCUGCCAAUAUCAACGCAGAAUAUUUGAACAGCUCUCCAUUCUCAUCUCAUCUAUAAAUUGGGCAAGCUCUCUUCAAAGUAGGUAACUCAAUUGUUAAUUCGUAGGUCAUUAGAUAUAUAUAGCAGCUGCAUUUACUACUGGAGCUCUCUGCAUUGCAUUGCUUCCUAUGUAAAAUGGGGUGGGUUCAGAAAGCUGCUGUCGAUGUUUUUGUAUAAUUUUCGUUAUCAAGAGGGUUUAGAGAAAGUUGCUGCCAAUGGUAUUGUAUAAUUUUCUUUAUCACGAAGGUUUAGAUUUAAAAAGUAAAAUUGUGAUAUUUAAGAUUUUUUAUUAUUAAAAUGAUUUCUAUUAAUUGUUUAAAAGGUUUUGGAUUUUUAAAAACUAUGAAAAAUAUGAAUUAUUAUUAAUUUUUAUUAUUAUUUUAUUGUUAUUUCAAUUUCAUUUUUUUCUAUAUAUAUUUAUUUAUUGUUCGAAUUUUAAAUUGUGGUGAGCCUCCCUCCUGUGACGGGCUGCAGCAGGAGGAUUUCAUUGGGAUAUUCUCAUUUUGCCACUGACGUGUUGCAACAGGAGUAAAUCAGCUGUUAAUUGUGUAAUUAGAAUUUUUUAACAGCAGAUCUGAGUAGUGAAAAAGGAAAAUUUUUGUUUUGUUGCAGCAGAACUGCUUGUCAGGUGUGUUUGCAGCUCCAAGUGAUUUGUAAUCAGUUUAAAUUGUAAUAGUUUGUUGUUCUGGUUUAAUAGAAACAAGAAAAGUUGUAUAAAAGUUUGCCUAAAAAGAUUGAAAAAAAAAAUUAUUAAAAGAUUUUGUUGGAUAUCAAAAGAUCA